UAACUGACGAGUUUGAUCAUGGCUCAGAUUGAACGCUGUCGAGCAGGCUUAACACAUGGCAAGUCGAGCGGAGAUUAGGUGCUUGCACCUUAUCUUAGCGGCAAACGGUUGAGUAAUGCUUAGGAAUCUGCCUAUUAGUGGGGGACAACAUUCCGAAAGGAAUGGUAAUACCGCAUACGUCCUACGGGAGAAAGCAGGGGAUCUUCGAACCUUGUCCUCAUAGAUGAGCCUAAGUCUGAUUAGCUAGUUGGUGGGGUAAAGGCCUACCAAGGCGACGAUCUGUAGCGGGUCUGAGAGGAUGAUCCGCCACACUGGGACUGAGACACGGCCCAGACUCCUACGGGAGGCAGCAGUGGGGCCUAUUGGACAAUGGGGGGAACCCUGGACAACGGUGCGGAGCGGGGCAAAAGUAGCUUGCUACGUUACCUAGCAGCGGACGGUUGAGUAAUGGUUAGGAAUCUCCCUGGAUAGUGGACGUUACUCGCAGAAUAAGCACCGGCUAACUCUGUGCCAGCAGCCGCGGUAAUACAGAGGGUGCGAGCGUUAAUCGGAUUUACUGGGCGUAAAGCGUGCGUAGGCGGCUCCUUAAGUCGGAUGUGAAAUCGGCGUCAGCUUAACUUGGGAAUUGCAUUCGAUACUGGGAAGCUAGAGUAUGGGAGAGGAUGGUAGAAUUGCAGGUGUAGUGA
rnacentral:rRNA from 1 species